AUCUUUGCGCUUGGGGCAAUGACGCAGCUCAUGAGGUUCUAACCGAGGCGCGUCUAUUGCUGGUUGAAAACUAUUUCCAAACCCCCUCGUAGGCCUGGGCUCGACCCUGGCCUUCGAGAAUUUCUGGAAGGGCUCCCUUCGGGGUAAAGCC
rnacentral:snRNA from 1 species